rnacentral:rRNA from 1 species
UCGGGAAUUUUGGGCAAUGGGCGAAAGCCUGACCCAGCAACGCCGCGUGAAGGAUGAAGUAUUUCGGUAUGUAAACUUCGAAAGAAUAGGAAGAAUAAAUGACGGUACUAUUUAUAAGGUCCGGCUAACUACGUGCCAGCAGCCGCGGUAAUACGUAGGGACCAAGCGUUGUUCGGAUUUACUGGGCGUAAAGGGCGCGUAGGCGGCAAUUCAAGUCAUCUGUGAAAUCUCCGGGCUUAACUCGGAACGGUCAGAUGAUACUGCUUUGCUAGAGUGCAGAAGGGGCAAUCGGAAUUCUUGGUGUAGCGGUGAAAUGCGUAGAUAUCAAGAGGAACACCUGAGGUGAAGACGGGUUGCUGGGCUGACACUGACGCUGAGGCACGAAAGCUAGGGUAGCGAACGGGAUUAGAUACCCCCGUAGUCCCUGAGCGGGCUGGCAAGGCGCAU